CACAGUCCUGACUCCAUAAAUAAGAAACAAACAAAGUGGCUCACACCAAGACAUACGCCAACCAGACCACAAACCAGCCAAUCAGACCAAGACAUACGCCAACCAGACCACAAACCAGCCAAUCAGACCAAGACAUACGCCAACCAGACCACAAACCAGCCAAUCAGACCAAGACAUACGCCAACCAGACCCCAAACCAGCCAAUCAGACCAAGACAUACGCCAACCAGACCACAAACCAGCCAAUCAGACCAAGACAUACGCCAACCAGACCACAAAUCAGCCAAUCAGACCAAGACAUACGCCAACCAGACCACAAACCAGCCAAUCAGACCAAGACAUACGCCAACCAGAUCACAAACCAGCCAAUCAGACCAAGGCAUACGCCAACCAGACCACAAACCAGCCAAUCAGACCAAGACAUACGCCAAUCAGACCACAAACCAGCCAAUCAGACCAAGACAUACGCCAACCAGACCCCAAACCAGCCAAUCAGACCAAGACAUACGCCAACCAGACCACAAACCAGCCAAUCAGACCAAGACAUACGCCAACCAGACCACAAACCAGCCAAUCAGACAAAGACAUACGCCAACCAGACCACAAACCAGCCAAUCAGACAAAGACAUACGCCAACCAGACCACAAACCAGCCAAUCAGACCAAGACAUACGCCAACCAGACCACAACCAGCCAAUCAGACCAAGACAUACGCCAACCAGACCACAAACCAGCCAAUCAGACAAAGACAUACGCCAACCAGACCACAAACCAGCCAAUCAGACCAAGACAUACGCCAACCAGACCACAAACCAGCCAAUCAGACAAAGACAUACGCCAACCAGACCACAAACCAGGCAAUCAGACCAAGACAUACGCCAACCAGACCACAAACCAGCCAAUCAACAGCAAUGAGUGCUCUUGCCCAUCACAUCAAGCAUGGAAGGAGUGGGUGUAUUUGAUUGGUUGUUGAGCUCGAAUAUCAACACUUUUUUCACCUGGAUUGAGGACCCUACCUUUAAGGAUGAACCCUUGUC
rnacentral:lncRNA from 1 species